GCUGGGCAUGGUGGCGCAUGCCUGUAAUCCCAGCUACUCAGGAGGCUGAGGCAGGAGAAUUGCCUGAACCCAGGAGGCUGAGGUUGCAGUGAGCCGAGAUCGCGCCAUUGCACUCCAGCCUGGGUAACAAGAGCGAAACUCCGUCUCAA
rnacentral:sRNA from 1 species